CUUACCCUUCCUAAACCUCGCUUGUGCUUCCUAGUCUACUUAGUUGCGCUCCAGCGGCAGCAGGCGCCUUCGUGUGGGCAUGCUUGAUGCUUGUCUUGUACUGUAACGCUCCAUUGCUUGCGUGCUGUGUGUCAGCGCACAUUUGGGUGCACGGGCAUGAGAGUAUUGUGAUUGGGCGCUCGAGAUGGCAAAAGUUUGACCAUUUUUUCCUAUAUGUUUUGAAGUUAUGUCGAUGGCGACGGGAGCAUUGCAUGAUGGAAUUGGAUGUAUGUUGGUGUGCUCUGAGGUCUCUGGUGGGUGGUAGGAUUUAAGAGUGGUUGGUAUGGUGUGGGCUGGCAUGGGAUGAGAUGGUUCUGUUUUAUUUAUGUGUGGUGGUGGAUGAGUUGAUGUGAGCUGAAUGCUGUGCUGUUGUCUAUGAGUUGGAGGAUUGCAGUGCUACCCUUGGUCUGCAAGGGCAUGUGCUCGUGCUUGUGGGGUUAAGUUUGUGGAUUGCUGGUGAUGGGGGAUUCUGUUAUGGUUGAAGCAGGAGUACCUCAGGAUUGCACCAAAGGAAUUCCAGGAUAGUGAUUUUUCCUCCAAAUUUUGGAGGAACCGAAGCAUGAGGUCUAACCUCAUGGAAAGUUCCUUUAUAAGUCCCAACGCGUCUUCUCACUAUCUUUCUCCUCUCUUACUCCAAUUAAGUACCAUGUAAUCUCAAAAUUUCUGUAUUUUUUCCUGUGUAGCUUUCAAACACCUCUUUCAAGCAAUUCUCGUGUUUUCAA